UAGUCCAUGCUGUAAACGGUGGGCGCUAGGUGUGAGUCCCUUCCACGGGGUUCGUGCCGUAGCUAACGCAUUAAGCGCCCCGCCUGGGGAGUACGGCCGCAAGGCUAAAACUCAAAGGAAUUGACGGGGGCCCGCACAAGCGGCGGAGCAUGUGGAUUAAUUCGAUGCAACGCGAAGAACCUUACCAAGUCUUGACAUAACUAUGAAAAUCCGUAGAGAUAUGGAUCUAUGACUUCGGUCGACAU
rnacentral:rRNA from 1 species